AUUGAACGCUGGCGGAAUGCUUUACACAUGCAAGUCGAACGGCAGCACGGACUUCGGUCUGGUGGCGAGUGGCGAACGGGUGAGUAACGUAUCGGAACGUGCCCAGUCGUGGGGGAUAACGUAGUGAAAAUUACGCUAAUACCGCAUACGAUCUAUGGAUGAAAGCGGGGGAUCGCAAGACCUCGCGCGAUUGGAGCGGCCGAUAUCAGAUUAGGUAGUUGGUGGGGUAAAGGCCCACCAAGCCAACGAUCUGUAGCUGGACUGAGAGGACGACCAGCCACACUGGAACGGAGACACGGUCCAGACUCCUACGGGAGGCAGCAGUGGGGAAUUUUGGACAAUGGGCGAAAGCCUGAUCCAGCCAUUCCGCGUGCAGGAUGAAGGCCCUCGGGUUGUAAACUGCUUUUGUACAGAACGAAAAGGUUUCUGCUAAUACUAGGAGCUCAUGACGGUACUGUAAGAAUAAGCACCGGCUAACUACGUGCCAGCAGCCGCCGUAA
rnacentral:rRNA from 1 species